GACGAACGCUGGCGGCGUGCUUAACACAUGCAAGUCGAGCGGGAAACUUCGGUUUCCAGCGGCGGACGGGUGAGUAACACGUGGGCAACCUGCCUCACAAUGAGGGAUAGCCUUCCGAAAGGAAGAUUAAUACCUCAUAAUACAAGAAAAACGCAUGUUUUUCUUGCCAAAGAAUUUCGUUGUGAGAUGGGCCCGCGGCGCAUUAGCUUGUUGGUGAGGUAACGGCUCACCAAGGCUGCGAUGCGUAGCCGACCUGAGAGGGUGAUCGGCCACAUUGGAACUGAGACACGGUCCAGACUCCUACGGGAGGCAGCAGUGGGGAAUAUUGCACAAUGGAGGAAACUCUGAUGCAGCAACGCCGCGUGAGUGAUGAAGGUCUUCGGAUUGUAAAGCUCUGUCUUCUGGGACGAUAAUGACGGUACCAGAGGAGGAAGCCACGGCUAACUACGUGCCAGCCGCCGCUGUAACAC
rnacentral:rRNA from 1 species